rnacentral:lncRNA from 1 species
AGUAGGAGACGAGGCAUAGUCACCCGCUUUUCGGCCAGUUUUCAUCAGUAGGUUACCUGUUCAACCUACUUGUGUUUUCUUGCUUCCGCUUGUGUUUAGUAGCUCUGAAUACUUUAGAAUUUUGUAUAUUAUGUGAUAUUCAGAAGCGUUAAAUUAAGAGUGUAAUAUGAAAUUUUCGAGUUAGGGUUGUCCAUCUGCAAGGGAGUUUUUCUUAAUCUUUUCAGUAAAUUUUCCUUGGAGGUGGUCCCCGCACGACUUACUCUGGGUUUCAGGGUGAAAUUCGGGGUGGGUCGUGUCAAUUGCCCUUCUUGGGGGCAACCUUUAAGUUAAGAGUACUUUGAUCCUUGUUGUGUUUGUUGCUAAGGUUAAUAUGUGUGUUAUUUUAGGUGAUUUGUGAAAUUGUGAGUUGGCUUGCUCUUGUGUUUUGCGGAAACGCAACGGGCUAUUGAGGUGAGUAAAUCUCACCAAGGUUCAAUUUUGAACCUAAUGUUAUUAUGGUCAUAUGAUGAUAAUGAUGAUGAUGUUGGAUUUAAUAAUAUGCUUUUAAUUGUUUUAAAAUUAUAUGAGCUUGAUCGCCAACGGCUCAUAGGUAAGAUAAAACAAGUUUUCUUUAUAUGCUAUUUUUGAGAUUAAUGUGAUCAUAAUUUUAUUGAUUAUUGAUAGGUUAUUCUUGUGGAAUAUCUAUAUUUUAUUCAUGUAAAUAUAUCUAUGUGGAAGGAUAUAAGUUAUGGUGAGAUAUUGUGUUGUUGAGAAUAAUGAUGUGAUAUUGUGUUGUUGAGAAUAAUGAUGUGAUACUGUGUUGUUGAGGAUAAUGUUGUGAUAUUAUGAUUGUUGGAUAAAUAGCCAAACCGGGUGGUUAAGAUGCUAUUUAUCAUUUUUGUGUUUGAUAUUAGACAGUCAAACCGGGUUCCAAGCCUUUGGCCGGGUGAUUGGUUGUGGUUAGGAAUAGGGCUCUGGUCCGUCUGUCAGUGUAGGUCAUGGGAGAGACCGUAUGGUAUCUGGGACCCAUGGGUACACAUUUUGUUGUUGUAGGUCAUGAGGGGUAUUUAUUAAUACCUGGGACUCAUGGGUACAUGUUAAUUGAGAUAGUGUUGAAAUUGUGGUUUUAAUUAUUGAUAUAAGUUACUCAUGUGUUAUAAUGGGUUGUUGGAGGUGUUUUGGCCACACCAGUAAGUCUGGGCGAGCAAAGUCUCUUUUAGUUGUUGCCGGCGUGCCACCGCGCGGACGCAGAAUGUAGUGGUUGUAGUAGCGGGGUGCGCUUAGCCUUUUGCUUCUAAUCAAGCGACUGAGGAUGGAGAGAGCACCAACUCCACCGCAGGGUUCUUCAGAUUCGCCUUGCGUACUGGGCAAGGACUUACAGUAGUCCGCCUGAGCGUCACAAUAUCGAUACUCGACGUAGGAUCGAGCAGAGCUUCAAUUGGGAAGGAGAGGAAAAAGAAAGAGAAAGCUCCGGAGAGCGUACAGGGAAACGAAAGGAAAGCUCUGGGGAGCGUCUGAGGUUCGACUAGGUCGAGAAUUGUAUUGUAUUUUGUAGAGUUGAGUUGUUGAUUUGUUGUUGUGUGUCGUUGUCGUGCUCGAACUCCUUUAUAUAGAAUUACUUAGGGCCACAGGUAUUAGCCCAAAGCAUGUCAAAGACUUGUAGGAGUCUUCAACGUUGAGAUUGCAUCGUAAGCAGUCCUUAUCAACUCUUUGUCGUUGCUCUUCUUGAAGGUAAUAGAGUUGGUUUAGAAUACAUUCUUCUCACGGACGUAUGCAUGGAUCACACAUAGCUUAGGAUGGUUGCAUCCUCACUUGAUUACUUCCCUCCAUGCACUAAUAGCAAAGUGAUAUAUGCAGAUAUAUACUCAUCUAUAUGUAUAUUGAUAGGAUAAUCCUUCAUGUCCAGGACUCCUAGGCGAAGUCUCUGCUCCGCAUAUGUAUGGACUUCUAGGGAAGCCUCCUCCACCAAGCAANNNNNNNNNNNNNNNNNNNNUCCAUAUGUGGAUGAUUAUGAGAAUAAUAUGUAUAUGAGAGAAUGCUAGCUAGCUAUACGUGCUUUUCCACCAUACUGAGGUAAAAUUCCAUUAUGGUGCGACGUGAGCGUUAGACGCAAUCGUCGUAGCCCUAUAUAAAAAUAAUAAUUUAUAUAGGGGAUAUGCACGUAUAUUUAUACACCGUCUUUUCCACCAUAAUGAGGUAAAAUGCCAUUAUGGUGCGACGUGAGCGUUAGACGCAAGCGUCGUAGCCUUGUCUGAAUUUUCUAUUUGUUUUUGUUGUUUCAAGAAAAUUCAUACAAGGGAUAUGACGAGUGUAAUACAUACAUAUUUUAUUUUAGCCUGAGAGGCUGUAUUCUAUUGAGCGUUAGAGACUGGCCGGAGCUAGUCAUGAAAUUUCCAGUUUUCGUGUUGAGUGUUUUGAGCUGUCGCAUGCAACAUAUUCUUUCUAUGGAAAAGUAAAAUUAGGAAAACAUAAAGAAUUAUUUUAUUUAUUUUAUUUUUGUCCACUCACUCUAACGUGUUCAAAUGUUUCCCCUGGGCCCUUCGUUUUAAAAUACCCAGUCUGCAGAGUUCGGGUUGGACCUAGUAGGAGACGAGGCAUAGUCACCCGCAUUUCAACCACUUUUCAUCAGUAGGUUAUCUGUUUAACCUACCUGUGGUUUCUUUUUCCGCUAGUGUUUAGUAGCUUUGAAUACUUGGGUUUAAUGUAUAUUUUUUUCGGUUGUGGGUGAAGACUUGUUGACGUCUUAGAAUAUUUGUUGGAGGAUUUAUGUUAUCUUUUGGAUAAUUAUAUUUAAUGUAUGGAUAAUGUUGUGUUGUUGGUGGUAGUUGUAUUUGGGGAGCACGUAGGCUCCAGGAGUUAAGGUUGGAUUAAAUUUUUUGGAAGUGUUUGCAGGUUUUCUUUAGGAAGGGUUAUCCAUUUUCAAGGGAGGUUAUGCCGAUUUUUCGGUAAUAUCUUUCUUGGAGGUGGUCCCUGCACGUUUUACUCCGGGUUUCAGGGUGAAAUUCGGGGNNNNNNNNNNNNNNNNNNNNAUCAUCCGCUUCUGGGUCUUCUGCUGGUAGUGGCAGUGGUGGUAGAUCUAGCUCUGGUGUUCGAAGUAAGUCUAAGGGACGUUUCAGGAGUUCUUCUCGGAGUCAUUUGGGUAGGCAGCAAUCUGGGCAGUAUGGUUCUGGUGGUAGCUUCCAUGGUGGGUCAUCCGGUAGCCAGACUUUUUCUUAUGGGCAGCAGCAGUUUUCUGGAUGCUUUGAGUGUGGUGGUCAAGACCACUUCAGGAGAGAUUGCCCAUUGUUGGCUCAGAGGACCACCCCCACCCAUACUCAGCCAGUUGGUCAGUCUUCAGCUAGGGGCUCUAGUAGUGGUGCCCAAGACAGUGCUUCAGUUAGAGGUGGCUCUCAGAGAGGUGGUGGUCAGCGUGGACGUGCCAUGACUCGCGCUAGACUGCAUGCUAUGACCUAGCAGGAGGGUCGUACUUCUCCAGAUGUCAUCAUUGGUACGUUAUUAAUUUUUGGUCAGCCUGCUUUUACUUUAAUUGAUCCCGGAGCCACGCAUUCAUUCAUGUCUAGUAGAUUUGCCCUCCAUGCCAAUGUGCCAUCAUCGUCUCUUCCAGGCGAGUGGCAUGUGUCUCUACCCUCCGGUGAGGUGAUGAGAAUAAAUUGGGUGUUUAGUGGUUGUGAAGUUUUAGUGGAAGGAGUUAAUUUCAAGGCUGAUUUAAUUCCUUUAGAUAUAGUGGAGUUUGAUGUUUGGAUAAUGUUGUGUUGUUGGUGGUAGUUGUAUUUGGGGAGCACGUAGGCUCCAGGAGUUAAGGUUGGAUUAAAUUUUUUGGAAAUGUUUGCAGGUUUUCUUUAGGAAGGGUUAUCCAUUUUCAAGGGAGGUUAUGCCGAUUUUUCGGUAAUAUUUUUCUUGGAGGUGGUCCCCGCACGUUUUACUCCGGGUUUUAAGAUGAAAUUCGGGGUGGGUCGUGUCAGUGAAGGCUAAGUGUUGAUUAUGUUUUGUUUUUGCAUCUUAGGUGCUAAGCUGUUCAUGGUGUUUCAUUAGAUCGGAAACUUAGAAAGUUUGAUCUUGAAGGUAGUUUGGUUGUUGUUGAGUGUCCAAUGACCUUGGGAGGUCUUGGAGGAAGGAUUACCCUUCUUGGGGGCAACCUUUAAGUUAAGAGUACUUUGAUCCUUGUUGUGUUUGUUGCUAAGGUUAAUAUGUGUGUUAUUUUAGGUGAUUUGUGAAAUUGUGAGUUGGCUUGCUCUUGUGUUUUGCGGAAACGCAACGGGCUAUUGAGGUGAGUAAAUCUCACCAAGGUUCAAUUUUGAACCUAAUGUUAUUAUGGUCAUAUGAUGAUAAUGAUGAUGAUGUUGGAUUUAAUAAUAUGCUUUUAAUUGUUUUAAAAUUAUAUGAGCUUGAUCGCCAACGGCUCAUAGGUAAGAUAAAACAAGUUUUCUUUAUAUGCUAUUUUUGAG